rnacentral:rRNA from 1 species
UACGUAGGGUGCAAGCGUUGUCCGGAAUUAUUGGGCGUAAAGAGCUCGUAGGCGGUUUGUCGCGUCUGCUGUGAAAUCCCAGGGCUUAACCCUGGGCCUGCAGUGGAUACGGGCAAACUAGAGUGCGGUAGGGGAGAUCGGAAUUCCUGGUGUAGCGGUGAAAUGCGCAGAUAUCAGGAGGAACACCGGUGGCGAAGGCGGGUCGCUGGGCCGUAACUGACGCUGAGGAGCGAAAGCGUGGGGAGCGAACAGG